rnacentral:rRNA from 1 species
AGAGUUUGAUCCUGGCUCAGAAACGAACGCUGGCGGCGUGCUUAACACAUGCAAGUCGCGUGCGCAGUUUCCGUAGCAAUACGGGGAUGGGCGCACGGCGCACGGGUGCGUAACACGUGGGCAAUCUGCCCUCCGAUGGGGAAUACCCCCGCGAAAGCGGGACUAAUUCCGCAUAACAUUCCUUGGAUUAACUUUCGAGGAUUUAAAGCAGCAAUGCGUCGGAGGAGGAGCCCGCGCCCGAUUAGCUAGUUGGUGAGGUAACGGCUCACCAAGGCAAUGAUCGGUAGCUGGUCUGAGAGGAUGGCCAGCCACACUGGAACUGAGACACGGUCCAGAACUCCUACGGGAGGCAGCAGUGGGGAAUCUUGCACAAUGGGCGAAAGCCUGAUGCAGCGACGCCGCGUGGGGGAUGAAGCUUUUCGGAGUGUAAACCCCUUUCGACUGGGACGAAUGCCUCGCAAGAGGAGUGACGGUACCAGUAUAAGAAGCCCCGGCUAACUACGUGCCAGCAGCCGCGGUAAGACGUAGGGGGCCAGCGUUGUUCGGAAUUACUGGGUGUAAAGGGUUCGUAGGCGGUGUGGCAAGUCGGGAGUGAAAUCUCUGGGCUCAACCCAGAGACUGCUUCCGAAACUGCUGUGCUUGAGUGUGAGAGAGGCUCGUGGAAAUUGCAGUGUAGCGGUGAAAUGCGUAGAUAUCUGCAGGAACACCCGUGGCGAAAGCGGCGAGCUGGAUCACUACUGACGCUGAGGAACGAAAGCUAGGGGAGCAAACAGGAUUAGAUACCCCCGUAGUCC